GACGAACGCUGGCGGCGUGCUUAACACAUGCAAGUCGAACGGAAAGGCCCUGCUUUUGUGGGGUGCUCGAGUGGCGAACGGGUGAGUAACACGUGAGUAACCUGCUCUUGACUUUGGGAUAACUUCAGGAAACUGGGGCUAAUACCGGAUAGCAGCUCCUGCUGCAUGGUGGGGGUUGGAAAGUUUCGGCGGUUGGGGAUGGACUCGCGGCUUAUCAGCUUGUUGGUGGGGUAGUGGCUUACCAAGGCUUUGACGGGUAGCCGGCCUGAGAGGGUGACCGGCCACAUUGGGACUGAGAUACGGCCCAGACUCCUACGGGAGGCAGCAGUGGGGAAUAUUGCACAAUGGGCGGAAGCCUGAUGCAGCAACGCCGCGGGCGUGAUGACGGCCUUCGGGGUGUAAACCGCUUUCGCCUGUGACGAAGCGUGAGUGACGGUAAUGGGUAAAGAAGCACCGGCUAACUACGUG
rnacentral:rRNA from 1 species